rnacentral:rRNA from 1 species
UACCCGCUGAACUUAAGCAUAUCAAUAAGCGGAGGAAAAGAAACCAACAGGGAUUGCCCUAGUAACGGCGAGUGAAGCGGCAACAGCUCAAAUUUGAAAUCUGGCCUCGGCCCGAGUUGUAAUUUGCAGAGGAUGUUUCUGGCGCGGUGCCUUCCGAGUUCCCUGGAACGGGACGCCACAGAGGGUGAGAGCCCCGUAUGGUUGGACACCAAGCCUGUGUGAAACUCCUUCGACGAGUCGAGUAGUUUGGGAAUGCUGCUCAAAAUGGGAGGUAAAUCUCUUCUAAAGCUAAAUACCGGCCAGAGACCGAUAGCGCACAAGUAGAGUGAUCGAAAGAUGAAAAGCACCUUGAAAAGGGGGUUAAACAGUACGUGAAAUUGUUGAAAGGGAAGCGCUCAUGACCAGACUUGUGCCGGGCGGUUCAUCCGGGGUUCUCCCCGGUGCACUCCGCCCGGCUCAGGCCAGCAUCGGUUCUCGUUGGGGGAUAAGAACGGUGGGAACGUGGCCCUCCCUCGGGAGGGUGUUAUAGCCCGCCGUACGAUACCCUGACGGGGACCGAGGUUCGCGCUCCGCAAGGAUGCUGGCGUAAUGGUCAUCAGCGACCCGUCUUGAAACACGGACCAAGGAGUCGUCCAUUAGAGCGAGCGUUUGGGUGUAAAACCCGCACGCGUAAUGAAAGUGAAAUUAGGUGAGAGCUUCGGCGCAUCAUCGACCGAUCCUGAUGUUCUCGGAUGGAUUUGAGUAAGAGUUUUAACGGACGGACCCGAAAGACAGUGAACUAUGCUUGUAUAGGGUGAAGCCAGAGGAAACUCUGGUGGAGGCUCGCAGCGGUUCUGACGUGCAAAUCGAUCGUCAAAUAUGAGCAUGGGGGCGAAAGACUAAUCGAACUGUCUAGUAGCUGGUUACCGCCGAA